rnacentral:rRNA from 1 species
AGCUCCCAUAUCGUAUAUUAAUGUUGCUGCGGUUAAACCAUUCGUGAUUGGAUUUCCGCUGAGGGUGACCGGUCCUCCCUCUCGGUGGGCAUCUGACUCGGCCUUGGCAUCUUCUUGGUGAACGUAGUUGCAUUUGAUUGUGCGAUGCGGCGCCCAGGAUUUUUCCUCUGCGAGAAUCAGAGCAUUGCAAGUAGGCAUGCGCCUUCAAUACAUUAGCAUGGAAGAAUGAGCUAGGACAUCGGUACUAUUCAGUUGGUUCCUAGAGUUGGGGUAAUGAUUCGUAUUUGAUUGUCAGGGGUGAAAUCCUUGGAUGUGUUAAAGAUGGAUCGUUGCGAAAGCAUUUGCCAAGGAUGUUU